ACACACCUAGGGCUGGCUCGGUGCUGCAGGGUGUGUGGACCCCCUGGCCCUGCUGUGUGCACUCUGCCGUACCCUGGAGCUGACGGUCCCCCAGGGCUAUGACCUUUUCCCGAUGCCACGCCUAGGGUACACCCCUCCUCAGACCUGGGGCCAUCUGCCCUUUGUCCCACUGAGCAAAGCGUUUUGGAGCUUGAAUAAGGACCCUUUCAUCUCGAAUCUCACGCUGAAUUAUUGACAUUUGGGCAGCAUGAAUUUUUCACAUUAAUGGACUAUUUAAAAACAUUUUUCUUUAAAGCAGAAACCUGAGUGCUUUAAAGAAAAAGCCUUUCUCUUUUCUUUUAAGUGACCCAGUGUGAGUACAGAAAACCUCCAGCUCCGAGUUUUCUUCAUCCUUCAUGACGCCUAACAACCAGAGCCUCAGCUGUUACAUCCAAGGCCCGAGACAUACCCCACAGAGGAGAGGCCGGUCCAGGACCCUAAGGAGGGUGCCCAUGACUGGGAGCCAGAGAGCACAGGUGUGGAUGGUUUGGAGGACGCACGAGUGUUGGUUAAAACAAGUAGCACACUCGGGCCAAUGCCCCCCUCCUCACCCCGCUGUGCUGGACAGGAGGUGUGGGCGGGGGACGUCCCUGAGGGUGAGCGGAACCUGAGGUGCCUGAGGAAGCUCUGCAUGCAGGCAGGUCCAGGCAGCGGGAAUGGAGCCGUCCUACACAGAGAGGACGUCUGGAACAGCGUCUGUUCCGUGGGAGUCGCUGUUGCACUGACUCCUUCCAGGUGGAGAGGGAGGGGCGGGCGGCAUCCCUUCACCAGUUCGCAUGUAUUUCCUCAUGGAACCCCGUUUCAUGGGCCAAACCACCUCCUAUUCUAGGCUCAGUAGGUAGCAUCUGAUUCUGGAACCUGAAGACCCAUCCUGAACACCUGAGACCACAGACCAGCACCAUCAAGGUGGGUCGAGGCUCCGUGUGUCCAAGUUCCUCCUCCCUCCCCUCCAACAGCGCACGGAGUUCGGGCAGCACCGCCGACCCAGGUGACCCAACAGCACACGGAGGCCGGGCAGCACCGCCGACCCUGGUGACCUAACAGCACAUGAAGGCCGGGCAUCACCGGGGACCCAGGUGACCCAACAGCGCACGGA